UACGAACUGUGCGAACGUUAUUCGGAAUCACUGGGCUUACAGGGUGCGUAGGCGGCCUUCCAAGUCAGGUGUGAAAUCCCCCCAGCUCAACUGGGGAACAGCGCUUGAAACUGGUUGGCUUGAGUCAGCUAGAGGUGCACGGAACUUCCGGUGGAGCGGUGAAAUGUGUUGAUAUCGGAAGGAACACCAGAGGCGAAAGCGGUGCACUGGAGCUGGUCUGACGCUGAGGCACGGAAAGCCAGGGGAGCGAACGGG
rnacentral:rRNA from 1 species